rnacentral:rRNA from 1 species
UCUCCCUCCCAAACUGGGGUUAGAUACCCCACUAUGCUUAGCCCUAAACAUAAAUAGUUCUGUAACAAAACAAUUCGCCAGAGAACUACUAGCAACAGCUUAAAACUCAAAGGACUUGGCGGUGCUUUAUAUCCCUCUAGAGGAGCCUGUUCUAUAAUCGAUAAACCCCGAUAAACCUCACCAU